rnacentral:lncRNA from 1 species
CGGAUUAUCGGUUUUCUUCUCCUUUUCGUUGGAAACUCAGGGAUCUCAACGCCUCCUUGGAUGCAGAGCUCGACUACGGCGGGGACUCGAGGGAUGGUGAAUCUCUCAUCGUGACGGAUGCGCUUGCCGAGACGGUCGUAGAGGUGGUAAGCUUCAAGAGGGACAAUGACGUCUUCGAGGACAGAGUUUGUCCAUUCAUGAUGACCUUUCCUUUGAGAAGCACUAGGACCUUUACACGACUUAAACGGAUGACCGUAAGGUCCAACGUGGAUCUCAUUACACCACCUAAGAGACAAAACAAGAACAACACAUAACCAAACAUAACAAGAAGAGGAAGAAGAAGAAGAAGAAGAGGAGUUAUUAAUUUAUUAUUACCCACAAGCGUUAACACGAACUACUUUCAUGAGGCGGUGGAGAUUGUUGAUCAGUCUGAUUCUCGCGUUGUACACUUUGUAAGCAAGAGGGACGAGAAGAGACAUGAGCCUGAUAAGAAUAGUUAUAGGAACAGAACAGAAGUGAACUUGCUAAAAGAAGAAGAAGGAGAAGACAGUUACUUACUUAAAAAGCUAAUCCAUGGCUUUAGACUGAUUUCAAACGUGACGAUGAUGAUGAGGGAUAACGCUUUGCAGUUUGAGGAAAAAAGUAAGAAGAAGAAGAAGAAGACACGAAAGUGGGUGUGAAUGUGAAAGCGAGCAGACCAGACAAGUGGUAUCUUGCCUUUACCAAAGAUAAAUAAAACUAAAGCAAUGAAGAAGAAAGGGAAUCUGGUAAAUGACGUUUUUACCCUUGAUUAUUUCAAAAAGUAGAUUUGUUCUUUUUAAAAAGUCUCAAAAGUGAUGUUUCAAACACAAGAUGAGACACCGUCACUAGUCAACUGGUUGGAACUUAAAAUAAUGUGAUUUUCAAUUAAAUAAUUAUACUAUGAAAAAAGGACAAACAUGUUCAAGGGAUCCAAAACUUCAAGGUCUGAAGCUGAAACUGAACAAUUGUGUUGGAUUUGUUUGUCCUACUUAUUAUCUAUCAAGUAUUUAAGUUUAUACUUAUGCCACAUGUACCUAGGUGCAUAUUAUCUACUGCAAAGAUGUCAUUCAAUGGUUCUUAAGUUAGAUUGUGGUAAUAGACAAGCAGUGAUGCUAUAAACAUCAAAUCAAACGACCAUUUCAGCUUCUUGAACACUAGAAGGUAUCCCAACCUCCAGUCUCAUAGUAGCCCUAUACUGUUCAGGCACUCCAGCACCAGCCUGCGCACAUAUCUCCACAACAGCAGGUGCUUGCCCGUAGAAGCUUCUCAGCUCCCUCUGCAUCGGCGGCCCAUUCACAUCAGGAACAUGCCAAACGUAUCUCGGCGGUAUCAAGUCAUCAAGCACCGCAGACUGCCAACCGUGCUGACCAUUCCUCUGCUGGUGCUUGAACGCGCCGCAGUUCUGCGCCUUGUGCCCCGUCGGACCAACGUGGACCUCGGGGCAGUACCCGCAGACUCUGACCCUGUACAUCCUCAUCAGCUUCUUGGCUCCCGCUCUCAUCUCUUCCCACGCUUGUAGAGUCUCUUCCGCUAGGGAGACUGUUUCUUCUUCGUUGGAAGGUGGAGUGAUCUCUGAGGGAGGUAGCUCGGUUAACAACGGCUCUGGAGGAAAGUGAGGCUCUGGAUCAGGCAGUUCGGUUUCAUCUGCGUCUACGAACUCGCUUUUGCCGAUGCGGAUUAUCGGUUUUCUUCUCCUUUUCGUUGGAAACUCAGGGAUCUCAACGCCUCCUUGGAUGCAGAGCUCGACUACGGCGGGGACUCGAGGGAUGGUGAAUCUCUCAUCGUGACGGAUGCGCUUGCCGAGACGGUCGUAGAGGUGGUAAGCUUCAAGAGGGACAAUGACGUCUUCGAGGACAGAGUUUGUCCAUUCAUGAUGACCUUUCCUUUGAGAAGCACUAGGACCUUUACACGACUUAAACGGAUGACCGUAAGGUCCAACGUGGAUCUCAUUACACCAC